CUCUGGCUUCCAGCAGUCCCGCGCAGCUCAACUGCAUUUAUUUUAUUUCUGCAGUCGCCCCCCUCCCCUAAGGCACACAGACACAAUACCUCCUUUCUCUAACCCCCCUCUCCUUUCGGUCUUUGCUUCUGGCCGUCCUGGGGCUGCACCGGGCAUCUCCCGCCGCCCCGGUUGCCACUGAGACCCGCGCGCCCAGCUCCAAGCGCGGACACCGCAGCUUGUUCCCCUUGGCUCCGGCUAUUUUCGUUCCUUUCUCUCUUCACUCCUCCCUCCUCCCCCGCGGAGCUCCAGCUUCCAAAAGAGGGCAGCCUAGAAACCAGCGCAGGAGGAUCCAAGAAGGGCAACUUGAAACUGCCCUCCUGAGGCCGAACUUUUUUCCUCAAAUUUAUCCUGGAAUUAAAUUAGACACCCCCAGUUCGCUCUCGAACCCUUCCCCCUUUUUUCUAAAAGUGGAGAAAAGAAAAUAGAACGAAUGGGCGCUAACUAGCUCAUUUCCCCCCCCUCCAGAAAAGUUGCCUUAAAAAUGGAUUAAAAAAAAAUAGGAUCAAUGCGAAAACGCUGAGUCCGCAGCGCGGGGCGAAAGAGCGGGCUUCUCUUGUUUUAAUUAAAAUCCUAUCACCACGGUUGCUCUCCGAGGCAGGAUCAGCAGGAUUUCUGCCCCUUCAAGCUUCCUUUCGAGGGUACGUAAUGCCUAGCUGGACUCGGGUGCCUGCCGGGGCUGCGGAGAGGGUGCGGGGCCCCUAGGACUGUCCCUCCGGCAGGGUCCGCAUUCCCUGCGCCUCUAGCCAGAUAGGUUUGCCGCUGGCAGCUCCCGGCUACUCAACCCAGAAAGGAUUUUGCUGAAAGCGCAAAAUAAAGUACAAAGUCUGGGGGAUUGGGGCUCCCCUCCCCCUCUGGCCGCCGUGGCCAGCCAAGCACUUUUGGGCUUGGCUGCUGCUUCCUCUGAGCUCAACAGAUUUUUUUUUUCCCCCGGUCUCGCCCUCCCUGGAGGGGGCGCGGCGGAUGGAAGGCGAGAGAGGCCCCCAGCCAAGAGGUUUUUAAUAUUACACUUUAAUAGGUUUCAGAAGGCCCCGUGGAGAAAUGCUAAUAGGCUGAAAUGUCAGAAUCGAGAGGGAUUCAGCUUGCGCUCAGCCGAUCUAAUCCUUUUUUCUGCUCUGAUUUUUUUUGGGGGGGAAGGGGGAGGGGACCGCCCACGCCAAGAGGGGCUUCGGGGAGGGGCUCGCGUUGCAGAAGCACCGCAGCCCCGGCCGGGGCCAAGAAGGGGGCGCGCCCUGGCCCGCGCGCGUUUCUAUAGGAACCCCCUUUAGGAGAUUAGACUCACCCGCUGCCCGCCGCCGCGGCCUCUCCAAAAUAUUAAUCAGUAACCAUCUGACACUGCUUUUCAGGGAGGGACCCGCAGGCCGGGACAAGGAAAACGGCCUUCUCGCCUGCCCAUCCCACCCGACUGCGCUCCUGGGGGAGAGGGAAUGAAUCGCUGCUUUGUUUUAAAAGGAAGGAAAAGGAAAAAAAAAA
rnacentral:lncRNA from 1 species